GCGCGAAAACUUCGCACUGCGCGAAAGCGCGACGAGGGAAUCCCAAGUGUAUGCACGUAAGUGUAUACUGUUUCUCUGUCUAAAAAGCAGAGAGAGUAAGAGCUGGGUAAGACGGGUGCCAGCCGCCGCGGUAAUACCUGCAGCUCGAGUGGUGAUCGUUAUUAUUGGGCCUAAAACGUCCGUAGCCGGUCUUCUAAAUGCCUGGGUAAAUCGUAUGGCUUAACCAUACGAAUUCCGGGUAGACUGUUAGACUUGAGACCGGGAGAAGCUAGAGGUACUCCUGGGGUAGAGGUGAAAUUCUGUAAUCCUAGGGGGACGACCAGUGGCGAAGGCGUCUAGCUAGAACGGGUCUGACGGUGAGGGACGAAGCCCUGGGGCGCAAACGGGAUUAGAUACCCCGGUAGUCCAGGGUGUAAACGCUGCUUGCUUGAUGUUAGUCUGGCUCCGAGCCAGAUUAGUGUCGGAGAGAAGUUGUUAAGCAAGCUGCCUGGGAAGUACGGCCGCAAGACUGAAACUUAAAGGAAUUGGCGGGGG
rnacentral:rRNA from 1 species